rnacentral:rRNA from 1 species
UACAGAGGUCUCAAGCGUUGUUCGGAUUCAUUGGGCGUAAAGGGUGCGCAGGCGGCACGGUAAGUCGGGUGUGAAAUCUCGGAGCUUAACUCCGAAACUGCAUUCGAUACUGCCGUGCUUGAGGACUGGAGAGGAGACUGGAAUUUACGGUGUAGCGGUGAAAUGCGUAGAUAUCGUAAGGAAGACCAGUGGCGAAGGCGGGUCUCUGGACAGUUCCUGACGCUGAGGCACGAAGGCCAGGGGAGCAAACGGG